rnacentral:rRNA from 1 species
CGCGUAGGCGGCAUUGCAAGUCGGAUGUGAAAUCCCCGGGCUUAACUCGGGAAUUGCAUCCGAAACUGCUUUGCUUGAGUCCUGGAGGGGGUAGUGGAAUUCCCAGUGUAGCGGUGAAAUGCGUAGAUAUUGGGAGGAACACCGGUGGCGAAGGCGGCUACCUGGACAGUGACUGACGCUGAGGCGCGAAAGCUAGGGGAGCGAACGGGAUUAGAUACCCCGGUAGUCCUAGCCGUAAACGAUGGGCACUUGGUGUUGGGGGUAUUGAGUCCCCCGGUGCCGGAGCUAACGCGUUAAGUGCCCCGCCUGGGGAGUACGGUCGCAAGACUGAA